GGUAAACCUGAGGAAACCCCGAAAGGUCGAACGGGCAGAUUCAACCGCGUUUCGGGCGUUUCGGCGAGUCGGGCGGSGCGUGACGGGCGGCGUUCGCGCCGCUCCGCUCGCCCGCCUUCCGUCCGGCCCCGAACGCGUGCACUUCUGCCCUUGUAGGACGUCGCGACCCGUUGGGUGCCGGUCUAAGGCACGCGGUGGAGCCCGUACGGACGGUUCGCCCGUUCCGUUCGGACCCGCGUUGUCCCGGCCGGCCCGCCCGACGGUAGACAUUUCAAUGGCGCUGGGCCGCGAUCUCGAUCGCGUCCGGCCCGUCGCAAGUGCGAUCGGCUUCGCGGUGGAUUUCGGACCUGGUGCCGGAUCCGCCGACUUUCGACUGCUGGCGACGGUGUCCUCGGACGGUCCGCACGAGCGCCCGUCGGCGACGCUAUAGCUUUGGGUACUUUCAGGACCCGUCUUGAAACACGGACCAAGGAGUCUAGCAUGUGCGCGAGCCAUUGGGACUAGCGAAACCUAAAGGCGAAAUGAAAGUGAAAGAGCGCCCCGCGCGCUCCCAGGGAGGAUGGGCAGGCUUCGGCCGGCCUCGCACUCCCGGGGCGUCUCGUUCUCAUUGCGAGAUGAGGCGCACCCAUAGCGUACACGCUGGGAC
rnacentral:rRNA from 1 species